AGAGAACCAGACUCAUCACGAAUGAAUCACGAGUGGAAAUAAUGAUUUGGGACCCAGACAGGAGACUCCGCUGAGGUCUGGACAGAUUGGACCAUUUCGACAACUUCUCCAACUCAUCAGGCUGCUCACACUUCACAUCUGCCACAGCUGCACACAUCAUGCAGUGAGGCGCAGCAGAAACGCACACUUCUCGUGUUAUCUAUGGCAACCAAACAAGGAAGUUUUGUUAAUCUACUGAAGCUGCAGCCGAUAAAGUGUCUGUGACUCAGAUGGACUCAUUCAUGCAAG